rnacentral:rRNA from 1 species
AGAUGGCCUCUAUUUAUAAGCUAUCGUUGAAGGAUGGGCCUGCGUCUGAUUAGCUAGUUGGUGGGGUAACGGCCUACCAAGGCGAUGAUCAGUAGCCGGUCUGAGAGGAUGAACGGCUACAUUGGGACUGAGACACGGCCCAAACUCCUACGGGAGGCAGCAGUGGGGAAUAUUCCGCAAUGGACGAAAGUCUGACGGAGCAACGCCGCGUGAGUGAUGAAGGUUUUCGGACUGUAAAGCUCUGUUGUUCAGGACGAAAGUGCCUGUUGCGAACAGUUACAGGUAUUGACGGUACUGAACGAGGAAGCCACGGCUAACUACGUGCCAGCAGCCGCGGUAAUACGUAGGUGGCAAGCGUUGUC